rnacentral:rRNA from 1 species
UACAGAGGCCCCAAGCGUUACUGAGAAUCACUGGGUUUAAAGGGUGCGUAGGUGGUCCGUUAAGUCCGUUGUGAAAUCCCUGGGCUCAACCCAGGAAAUGCUUCGGAUACUGGCGGACUUGAGGCUAGUAGGGGUCACUGGAACUGACGGUGGAGCGGUGAAAUGCGUAGAUAUGCGGAGGAACACCGAUGGCGAAGGCAAUCCCCUGGGCCUGCACUGACGCUCAUGCACGAAAGCGUGGGGAGCAAACAGG